ensembl:snRNA U1 U1 spliceosomal RNA
AUACUUACCUGGCAGGGAAGAUCAUGAAGGUCGUUUUGAGUGAGGCUUACCCAUUGUACUGCAGAUGAUCUGACUCCUGCUGUUUCCCAUAAUGUGGGAAAAUUGACUGCUUAAUUUGAAGUAGUGGGGAAAAUACUUUCAUGCUUUCCCCU